GAUGAAGAACGUAGCGAAAUGCGAUACUUGGUGUGAAUUGCAGAAUCCCGUGAACCAUCGAGUCUUUGAACGCAAGUUGCGCCCGAAGCCACUAGGCCGAGGGCACGCCUGCCUGGGCGUCACACGCCGUUGCCCCCCCAUCUACUCCUUCGGGAUUGCGGGGGGGCGGAUGAUGGCCUCCCGUGCGCCUAGCCGCGCGGUUGGCAUAAAUACCAAGUCCUCGGCGACGCACGCCACGACAAUCGGUGGUUGCGAAACCUCGGUUGCCCGUCGUGUGCGUUCGUCGCGCAUCGAGGGCUCGAAAAAAUGCUCGGUUCCGGCUGGGCUUUCAACGCGACCCCAGGUCAGGCGGGGUUACCCGCUGAAUUUAAGCAUAUCAAUAAGCGGAGGA
rnacentral:misc_RNA from 1 species